rnacentral:rRNA from 1 species
AGUGAACGCUGGCGGUAGGCCUAACACAUGCAAGUCGAACGGCAGCACAGUAAGAGCUUGCUCUUACGGGUGGCGAGUGGCGGGCGGGUGAGGAAUACAUCGGAAUCUACUUUUUCGUGGGGGAUAACGUAGGGAAACUUACGCUAAUACCGCAUACGACCUACGGGUGAAAGCAGGGGAUCUUCGGACCUUGCGCGAUUGAAUGGGCCGAUGUCGGAUUAGCUAGUUGGCGGGGUAAAGGCCCACCAAGGCGACGAUCCGUAGCUGGUCUGAGAGGAUGAUCAGCCACACUGGAACUGAGACACGGUCCAGACUCCUACGGGAGGCAGCAGUGGGGAAUAUUGGACAAUGGGCGCAAGCCUGAUCCAGCCAUACCGCGUGGGUGAAGAAGGCCUUCGGGUUGUAAAGCCCUUUUGUUGGGAAAGAAAAGCAGCAGGGUAAUACCCCGCUGUUCUGACGGUACCCAAAGAAUAAGCACCGGCUAACUUCGUG